AUGGGAGGGGGAGUGUGGAUAGCAGUUUGGGGCUUUCAACGAAUUGCACUUCAUCUCCCUUAAUCCAAACACAAGUCUUUCACUGAGAAACUAAAGCGGACGAACAAGAAGCUCUUCUGCAAAAGCUUGGCGUCACAUCUGGCAUUCAUCAACAUCGCCCCAAAAAUCCACGUCGUCGACUCAAGGUUUCAAUGCCUCCCUUCACGAUUUCCACCAAUCUCCAAGAGUUCGAAUGGAAUCAAAGAAGUCGCAAUGCAAUAAAACCAAAAGAAAUGUAGAUUUACGUCGAUUCAUGAAUUCACUUACUUUUCAGUUUAUCGUUCACGCUUUGAAUCAACAACGUCGUUGUUCAUCAUGCACCUUGGCUCAACCAAAUCGAGUUUAUUUAUCUUCAUCGAAUCGCAACUGACAUCAAGCUCUCCCAUUAACUUGUAUUUGCACGCAAUCGAAACAAAAUCACGGAUGAAUCGUAGUCGCACCGAUAAACGAAUCAAGAAGUGAAAAAAUCAACUUACAGUAUCAGAAUCUUGACACGGUGAAUCUCCAACGACUUUCAGAAGUCUUGGCUGCGUAAUGGAAAAAGCUAGUUGCAGAGUUCAGUUGCAGAACCGAGUUCUAGAGUCCAGUUGCAGCAUUCAAUUGCAGAAUCGAUUUGUUGCAGAAUGAGGAUUGAAGUGUGAAGAGUGAAGAGUUCUGAGGAUUGAAGAGUGAAGAGUGAAGAGUUUAUGUGAAAAUGAUCUAAUCCCUAUCAAUCUCGGUUACUUAAUGGAAGAAGAAAUGACUUGGAUUUGAAGGAAAUGGGACAUGAAGCAUGGAAUAUAUAUUCAUGAAGAUAAUGGAUGAAUGUUGAUGUUUUAGGAAUUUAGAUUAGAUGUUAGAACCUUGGAUGUUAGUUUAUGCUUGUUUUCAAAUUUGUUUAUCUGUAAUGUUAAAGAGAUAAUAACAUGGUUAUGUACUUUGCAUCUUGAAUUGGAGUGAAAAAUCAUUGAAUGCAUAUUGCUUUGUAUUGAAUGGAAAUUUUUCUUGAAUGAUUUGGAAUUGUAGUUAA